rnacentral:tRNA from 1 species
UCCCUGAUGGUCUAGUGGCUAAGACUCUGCUUUCCCAAUGCAGGGGCCCAGGUCUGCUCCCUGGUCAGGAUA